CCCUAGCCCUGAUAGCAGUGGAAAUCCUUUAUUGUUUUUUCUUUGAAAACAAUAAAGAUUGAAACGAAUAGCAGGAUUAAGC
rnacentral:sRNA from 1 species